GGCACUCAAUCAAGAGAAAUCUGGAGGGAGUUGGAAACCAUCAAGUUUUUGAGGACACAAAGGGUGCAGAAAAGAUCGAGGAAAAGGGGUUAAUCAGAGUUUCUCCCUAUACCUGUCUUAGAAAUAACAGCAUAUUUUAAUCAGAGAUUUGU
rnacentral:lncRNA from 1 species